AACGCCUUGGUCCCACGCCAAAAGACUCGCCUUUUUAUCUCAAUUGCUUACAUCCAAGGGCAAAGGGCCCCACUUCGUGUUUGCCCUCGCCGAACGGUUAUCUUCAUCCAAUACUACUGUGCCACGUGUCCUUCGGAAUCACCUACUCCCCACGACUCAGACCUUCUCCCAGACGCGAACCGCAUCAUGCCACCCAAACCGGGCGGUUCGCUCUCCGACACGCUGUUUCGCGAGACUGACUCCUCGAACGACACGUCGUUCAAGCUCGACGUGCUGUGCCGCGCUCUAGAGUAGUUAACGGCACCGCUCUUCGUCUCAUGAGUUGAGUCCGCGGC
rnacentral:misc_RNA from 1 species